rnacentral:misc_RNA from 1 species
UUUAGCCGUGUUUCAUAAUCAAUUAAUAAAAUAGUAUGCAAUUUGCUAGUUCUGUAGCAAAAAAGUGAAAGAGUAACUAAAUCUGCAUCUUUAACAUGUUCUAGAACAGUGACAGAAGUAAGAAAUGUUUCUUCUGUUGCAGGCCUAACGAUUCUCCAUCAGCAAUGCCAUCGCACCCAAGGUUCAGCAGACUAGAGGACGACUAUAUCGAGGUGAUGUGGCGUCGAGGACAAAGUCGGUCACCAUAGCAAUAUUAUUGUCAAGUUGGAUUGGGGAGAUUCAAAGAUGAAUCUCCUCAACAUGGACGCGGAGAACCGCGUGGUUCUGAAUGUGGGCGGCAUCCGACACGAGACGUACAAGGCCACGCUGAAGAAGAUCCCUGCCACCAGACUCUCGCGGUUGACGGAGGCGCUCGCCAACUACGACCCCGUGCUCAACGAGUACUUCUUCGACAGGCACCCGGGCGUCUUUGCGCAGGUCCUCAACUACUACAGAACCGGCAAGCUCCACUACCCCACGGAUGUAUGCGGGCCGCUGUUCGAGGAGGAGCUGGAGUUCUGGGGGCUGGACGCCAACCAGGUGGAGCCGUGCUGCUGGAUGACGUACACACAGCAUCGAGAUACACAAGAAACCCUGGCCGUCCUGGACCGGUUGGACCUGGACACGGAGAAGCCGUCUGAUGAGGAGGUGGCGCGCAAGUUUGGCUUCGAAGAGGAUUACUACAACGGCACGGUGUCGUGGUGGCAACAACUCAAGCCUCAGAUGUGGUCACUGUUCGACGAGCCGUAUAGUUCUAAUGCUGCCAAGAUUAUCGGUGUGAUAUCAGUGUUUUUCAUUUGUGUAUCAAUCAUAUCGUUCUGCCUGAAAACGCAUCCGGAUAUGAGAGUGCCAGUGAUAAGAAACUAUACAGUGACGACCGCGAACCAAACGCAGAGUUGGGCGUUGGACAAAGUGCAAACAAACGCCCACGUAGCGUUCUUCUACAUCGAAUGUGUGUGCAACGCGUGGUUCACUCUCGAAAUCCUCGUUAGGUUCAUCUCCUCCCCCAACAAGUGCGAAUUCAUCAAAUCCUCCGUCAACAUCAUCGAUUACAUCGCAACAAUGAGUUUCUACAUCGACUUGAUUCUCCAGAAGUAUGCGUCUCACGUCGAGAACGCUGACAUUUUAGAAUUCUUCUCCAUCAUCAGAAUAAUGAGACUGUUUAAAUUGACAAGGCACUCGUCCGGCCUUAAGAUCCUCAUUCAGACUUUUAGGGCGUCCGCCAAGGAGUUGACGCUUUUAGUGUUUUUCUUAGUGCUCGGUAUUGUGAUAUUCGCGAGCCUGGUGUACUAUGCGGAGAGGAUACAGACGAAUCCGCACAACGACUUCAACAGCAUACCACUGGGGUUAUGGUGGGCGCUGGUCACCAUGACGACGGUGGGGUAUGGUGACAUGGCGCCCAAGACUUACGUUGGUAUGUUCGUCGGAGCACUUUGCGCGUUGGCUGGCGUGCUGACGAUAGCGCUGCCCGUGCCCGUCAUAGUGUCAAACUUCGCCAUGUACUACUCGCACACGCAGGCGAGAGCUAAGCUGCCCAAGAAGAGGCGAAGAGUCAUCAACGUGGAGCCGACCAGGCCACCGAUGCGUGCUCCAGGAGUGCCCGGUGGUCCAGCAGGACCCAUUGCACCAGAUGGUGAUCGUAGCGAACUUGAAGCUAUGAUCCAAACAACACCAAACAACUGCAAAAGAAAAAAUUUAAAUAUGCUUUAAAAAGCGACACACUGACUGGCUCCAGGAACGGGCUUCUAUAUCGCCUGCACGAACGGAUAUAGCUUAUGGGAAUGUUAAUAACUCUAACACAUUAAUAUGAUCAUUAAUUUUAUCACCAACUUGCACCAAACAAGGCAUCUCAACCAAACGCAGCACUUGGAUUCAACGUAGGUCCUAAUCACCGAUGAGACAGGAAGUCGCAAGCCUAAUGCCGGGAAUGGAUUUAACAGUAGCAACCCGCCUUACUCCAAGCCCUCGCGAUAUGAGCCCCGCUCUAGCAAUAG